GACGAACGCUGGCGGCGUGCUUAACACAUGCAAGUCGAACGGAAAGGCCCUGCUUUUGUGGGGUGCUCGAGUGGCGAACGGGUGAGUAACACGUGAGUAACCUGCCCUUGACUUUGGGAUAACUUCAGGAAACUGGGGCUAAUACCGGAUAGGAGCUCCUGCUGCAUGGUGGGGGUUGGAAAGUUUCGGCGGUUGGGGAUGGACUCGCGGCUUAUCAGCUUGUUGGUGGGGUAGUGGCUUACCAAGGCUUUGACGGGUAGCCGGCCUGAGAGGGUGACCGGCCACAUUGGGACUGAGAUACGGCCCAGACUCCUACGGGAGGCAGCAGUGGGGUAUAUUGCACAAUGGGCGGAAGCCUGAUGCAGCAACGCCGCGUGCGGGAUGACGGCCUUCGUGUUGUAAACCGCUUUCGCCUGUGACGAAGCGUGAGUGACGGUAAUGGGUAAAGAAGCACCGGCUAACUACGUG
rnacentral:rRNA from 1 species